UCCUUUAUGGCUCAGAUGGUAAAGCGUCUGCCUGCAAUGCGGGAGACCCAGGUUCGAUACCUGGGUUGGGAA
rnacentral:tRNA from 1 species